rnacentral:lncRNA from 1 species
GAAUUUGGAAGAUGCCCAUGUCUAAGACAGUGGUGAGGAUUGGGCCAAAAUCCAGAUCUAACCUUGGAUCAAGGAAGCCUUGAUUCCUUCAUCCGAGUAACCCUGUGUUGACCCACGGCUGCUGAUGGAUCGCGGACCUUCCUCUCUCCUCACUGUCCUGCAUCAGAUCACCAGGAGGACCUGAGAGUACUGGAUGAACCAUCACAAGACUGGGAUUGGAAAGUGUGGGGAGCAAGCACUCAGGGAGAUGGCUGAUGCAGCUGGUUCCCUGGCCCUGGGCUGUGGCUCAGCUCUUGGUCAUGGCACAAGUGACCAGAGGCCAGAGAAACAUGGUGGGGACUGAUUCUGUCUUGGCUAUUCCUCAUCAGUGCUUUGAGCUGCAUGAAGCCCUGAGAACCAAGGCAACACGAGUGCACAACCAGGGAUUUGCUCUUCUCAUGGUCUGCACCCUCAGCACAGCACAAAGUUCCACCCUUUGCUUCUGCAGUGCUAGUACCUACUUUCUCUUUUUCACAUCAAGAACACCGAGCAGCACUGAAGAGAAGAAACUGCAUCAUCUAACUGCUGGAAGAGAUGAAACUCUGUGCAGCCCUUCAUGUCAAAUAAUAAAGGGUAAUUAAAAGUUGUGUCUUUCCCCCUGCUGAGGAGAGGGGCUUGACCAAAGCCAUUUGGUGCAUGGAACACCAAACCCAAGCUGACUGUUGGUAUCAGUAGUGUGGGUGGCACCUGUGAACCAAGUUCUCCAUAACCAGAGGAGUUAUAGCCUUUUUUAAAUAUAUACUUCCUGAAAUCAGGCAGAUCAAACAGAAAAUUAAGAUUUAAAAAUUAUAUUUAUUCAAUUUAUUUAAUUAUUAAAUUUAAAAUUAAAUUUUAUAAAGGUCAAGCAGAAAUUAACACACUGGCUGAGAAUGAGACUUUCCCAGUGAGACAGCGCAAGACUAUUUAAAAAACUGCCCUAAACAGCAGAGUCAUCAGCGUUCCUGGUACUGCAGCUGUGUAUCUUUGAAAAUCAGGCACCCUUUAAGCACAUUUUCAUCAUAAUAUAACCAAUAUACAUUUUAUUAUGUUUCCUUUCCCUGUUCUACUUCUGGUUUAACCAUGUGUGAACCAAGCUAACAUGAUUAGACACCUUGUUUUUCACCAGUCAUUUCUGUUUGCAGUCUUCCAUAAAGUGCUUCAAAUGAAUUUUAAUAUGUUGAUGGUACUUACUGGAGAGAUUAAUAUUCAUAAUAAAUACCCCUUAGAAAUAAUCUUCA